UACGUAGGGUGCGAGCGUUAAUCGGAAUUACUGGGCGUAAAGCGUGCGCAGGCGGUUCGUUAAGUCCGAUGUGAAAGCCCCGAGCUUAACUUGGGAAUGGCAUUGGAAACUGGCGGGCUGGAGUGUGGCAGAGGGGGGUGGAAUUCCACGUGUAGCAGUGAAAUGCGUAGAGAUGUGGAGGAACACCGAUGGCGAAGGCAGCCCCCUGGGCUAACACUGACGCUCAUGCACGAAAGCGUGGGGAGCAAACAGG
rnacentral:rRNA from 1 species